AGAAUCGGAAGAGAUGGAAAUAAACAAUGCUGCUGGAAAAAACGGAAGAGAACAAGCAUAUUCUUCCAGGAGGUGCUGGUUUUGGGGCUGGCGCCGUCUUCCGAGUACACAUUUUUGGUGUAUGCUUCUCCAGUUGGAAACUAUUUCAAGGAAGAGACUGUGCCGAUCAGCUUGUACGUUGAGGAUAAGUUCCAUCGCGCUGGCUGCGGUGGUUCUUGAGGUGUGAAGAGCGUCACGAAUUAUGUGCCGGUGAGGUCAUGAACUGCUAGUAAUCAUGGAGAGCAAGAACUACCAAGCAAGCCACUAUGCCACUCAGGGUGAUGAGCAGACGUUGCUCCAGCGCCUGCAUCAAGAGCUUUACAAUCUCAAGUUUCUAAUCGUGGAUCACGCACGCUUUGCCGGAUAAGGAGAACGACAGUCAGAUUCUUCUCACCACUAGGCUUCGGGAGGUCACUGAUAAAAUUUCUGAAAAAUCUAGUUUACUUCAUGAGAUGCAGCCGCUCGGGCUGGAGCACAGCUGGCAGUUGCUCUGUUAUCUUACCUUCGGUGAUAUGCUGAAAAAUGAUAAUGAUGAUGUUACAUUGCCCUGCCCUCCUCACUUGAAGAAAAUUGAAAGAUC